rnacentral:misc_RNA from 1 species
GAUGAAGAACGUAGUGAAAUGCGAUAAGUAAUGUGAAUUGCAGAAUUCAGUGAAUCAUCGAAUCUUUGAACGCACAUUGCGCCCGCCAGUAUUCUGGCGGGCAUGCCUGUCCGAGCGUCAUUUCAACCCUCGAACCCCUCCGGGGGGUCGGCGUUGGGGAUCGGCCCUUUACGGGACCGGCCCCGAAAUACAGUGGCGGUCUCGCCGCAGCCUCUCCUGCGCAGUAGUUUGCACACUCGCAUCGGGAGCGCGGCGCGUCCACAGCCGUUAAACACCCCAAACUUCUGAAAUGUUGACCUCGGAUCAGGUAGGAAUACCCGCUGAACUUAAGCAUAUCAAUAAGCGGAGGA